UGGCCAUCCAGUUCAGGGACCCCCUCCCUGCCCAGCACCACUGAGGGACAGAUGUGGGCCUCCCCAGCACCCACCCUGAUUGACAGCGGGGACUCCGUGGUGGCCAAGUAUAUAAACAGGUUCCGCCAGGCUCAGCCCACCAGUCGAGAGGAGCGCCAGCCUGCAGGCCCAACCCCAGCUGACUUUUGGUGGCUGCAGUCUGACUCUCCAGACCCCAGCAGUCAAAGUGCAGCAGGUACCUCUUUCAGUGCCAUCCACUACUCCCACCCCUAAACCUUUGCUGAUCAAUGCCCCCAGCAGCCACUCCUCCUGGCCCUCAUACCUCAACUGGGGCUUCUCAGCAGGAGCCAACAAACCAGAAGGAAGACCCCAUACAGCUGUCCCUACUGCGGUCAACGUGACCAGUGCAUCCCAUGCUGUGGCUCCCCUUCAGGAAAUAAAGCAGGUGACAUCCCCAUUCA
rnacentral:lncRNA from 1 species